AAGAGUUUAGGAUAGUAAUUUAAACCAAGAGCCUUCAAAGCCCUAAACAGAAGUGAAAACCUUCUAUCUCUUG
rnacentral:tRNA from 1 species